rnacentral:rRNA from 1 species
CACGUAGGGUGCGAGCGUUGUCCGGAAUUAUUGGGCGUAAAGAGCUCGUAGGCGGUGUGUCGCGUCGGCCGUGAAAACCUGCAGCUUAACUGUGGGCUUGCGGUCGAUACGGGCAGGCUCGAGUUCGGUAGGGGAGACUGGAAUUCCUGGUGUAGCGGUGAAAUGCGCAGAUAUCAGGAAGAACACCCGUGGCUAAGGCGGCUCUCUAGUACGGUACUGACGCUGAGACGCGAAAGCGUGGGGAGCGAACAGG